rnacentral:rRNA from 1 species
AUGUAGCAUACAUGGCGUACUGCUCAGUAACACGUGGAUAACCUGCCCUUGGGUCCGGCAUAACCCCGGGAAACUGGGGAUAAUUCCGGAUAACGCACAUAUGCUGGAAUGCUUUCUGCGUAAAAUGGAUUCGUCUGCCUAAGGAUGGGUCUGCGGCCUAUCAGGUAGUAGUGGGUGUAAUGUACCUACUAGCCAACGACGGGUACGGGUUGUGAGAGCAAGAGCCCGGAGAUGGAUUCUGAGACAUGAAUCCAGGCCCUACGGGGCGCAGCAGGCGCGAAAACUUUACAAUGCGGGAAACCGUGAUAAGGGGACACCGAGUGCCAGCAUCAUAUGCUGGCUGUCCGGGUGUGUAAAAUACACCUGUUAGCAAGGGCCGGGCAAGACCGGUGCCAGCCGCCGCGGUAACACCGGCGGCCCGAGUGGUGAUCGUGAUUAUUGGGUCUAAAGGGUCCGUAGCCUGUUUGGUCAGUCCUCCGGGAAAUCUGACAGCUUAACUGUUAGGCUAUCGGAGGAUACUGCCAGACUUGGAACCGGGAGAGGUAAGAGGUACUACAGGGGUAGGAGUGAAAUCUUGUAAUCCCUGUGAGACCACCUGUGGCGAAGGCGUCUUACCAGAACGGGUUCGACGGUGAGGGACGAAAGCUGGGGGCACGAACCGGAUUAGAUACCCGGGUAGUCCCAGCCGUAAACGAUGCUCGCUAGGUGUCAGGCAUGGCGCGACCGUGUCUGGUGCCGCAGGGAAGCCGUGAAGCGAGCCACCUGGGAAGUACGGCCGCAAGGCUGAAACUUAAAGGAAUUGGCGGGGGAGCACAACAACGGGUGGAGCCUGCGGUUUAAUUGGAUUCAACGCCGGG